GAUGAAGAACGUAGCGAAAUGCGAUAAGUAAUGCGAAUUGCAGAAUUUCCGUGAGUCAUCGAAUCUUUGAACGCACAUUGCGCCCACUGGUAUUCCGGUGGGCAUGCCUGUUCGAGCGUCAUUAUCCUCCCUCAAACCCCGGGUUUGGUGUUGGACCCAAGUUGUGUGAACAACUGGUCUCAAAGACAAUGACGGCGUCCGUGGGACCCUCGGUGCAACGAGCUUUUAGGAGCACGCAUCGAGUUGCAAGGACCUUCCGGGCCGGUCUCCUUUACCAUUUUACAAGGUUGACCUCGGAUCAGGUAGGAAUACCCGCUGAACUUAAGCAUAUCAAUAGGCGGAGGA
rnacentral:misc_RNA from 1 species